rnacentral:lncRNA from 1 species
GGAAAAACAGGAAAAGCACUGGAAAAAUGGGCCAAGCUGGGCUUUGCUGCCUGAAAACCAGAGCAGAGCCAGGCCUGCUGAGGGAGAUAGGGGAAGGAAAGUGUUGAAAAUGGGGAUCGGAACAUGGUGGUGGAAUCUGUGGACAGUCAUGGUCUUUCAUCCUUGUGGAGAGAAUAAAGCUUGUUUCCUAUCUCUCUCCAGUUUCUUCCAGCAAAGACACUGUACAGUCACAGGCAGCUGCACUGUGGAAAAUGUAAAUGCAAUAGAAAACACAGACUUGGAGGAGCAGCUGUUGUCCCCUCCAGGUCAAGCAGUGGUCUUGAAAGAUGAACCAGCACAGAGGGAACUCAGAAGGAGCAAGGAGGUUGAAAUCCCCAUGCUGCUCACCAGCGAGGAAAAGUCAACUCCACAGAGGACCUAUAUUGGACUCCAGCUCUGCUAUAUUUCUAUCUCUACCAUCUACGGAGGGAGACUUGAACUUGCUGGAUACUGAGUAGCCUACUCAAAACAUGCCAAAGCUGAUCUUGCUAAUGCCCAAUUGCAGCCCCACCUCUCUUCUGGUCUCUGGCCCCAUCUCUGCAGCCUGUGUACUUGCCUGGGCUGCCAUGUUCUCAUUAUACCUUUGUACAGCGCCAGUCCUCUCCACUCUCAUUUCAGCUGCCUCCUCAAGGUGCUCCAAUAAUUCAAGUGAUAAAUAAUAACAAUAAUAAUGCAGAAGUCGUUUGAAUUGAGCUUGAUUGCUCCGUGGCUGAAUUUGGUCUUGAUUGACUGAAAGCAGCGCAUGCCCCUCGCUUGUUAUCUUGAGAGCCUCAUUUUCUCAGCGCGUUGUUGCUUCUCAUAGCCUCAAACUGAUCUGGCCUCGAGGCUGCUGCCAAAAUGCAACCCUGUUGUUCCCAGAAAGACCCCACUCUGUAGCAUCAUGUGAAUUUACACAUAUAAUAGAGGUGGAAAAUGACAGCAAAUAUCUCACUUCAGUAUGGUGCCAAAAAAGCUGUGUGUUCUCCUGUUUUCUGGGCAGACUUACUUCUUUUGAGGGGGGAAGAUGCUUGGUGAAGGCCUUGGGAAAGGAUUGAUUGUUGCUGGUUAAACUGAUUGCACCAUACAUUUCCAAAUAUUUGACAUGGGCACUACCUAUAACACUUGUUUGAUGGGUUAUAUUGCAAAGACAGACAAGCAGUCUCUAAAUGAGCAAAAGAUCUAGUGAGUACCCCUUGAGCUGCUGGACAUCAGCCUCACCCCAGCUCUGCUCUUAUGCACUUGUGAGUGUACCUCCUGUUGGUCCACACUGCGCUUCCAAGGGAGAUGCCUGUCUCAGCUAUGAGUGAGGGCAUUUGGUGGCACCUUAGAAUCAUAGAAUCGUUAAGGUUGGAAAGGUCCACUAAGCUCAUCCAGUCCAGCCAUCCACCCAUCACCACCUUGGCC